UAGGGAAUCUUAGGCAAUGGACGGAAGUCUGACCGAGCAACGCCGCGUGAGUGAAGAAGGUUUUCGGAUCGUAAAGCUCUGUUGUUAGAGAAGAACGAUGGUAGGAGUGGAAAAUCUACCAAGUGACGGUAACUAACCAGAAAGGGACGGCUAACUACGUGCCAGCAGCCGCGGUAAUACGUAGGUCCCGAGCGUUGUCCGGAUUUAUUGGGCGUAAAGCGAGCGCAGGCGGUUCUUUAAGUCUGAAGUUAAAGGCAGUGGCUUAACCAUUGUACGCUUUGGAAACUGGAGGACUUGAGUGCAGAAGGGGAGAGUGGAAUUCCAUGUGUAGCGGUGAAAUGCGUAGAUAUAUGGAGGAACACCGGUGGCGAAAGCGGCUCUCUGGUCUGUAACUGACGCUGAGGCUCGAAAGCGUGGGGAGCAAACAGG
rnacentral:rRNA from 1 species